AUGAUAUGGUCGCCGGCCGGCCGUUGCAGGUUUCAGGACUGGGGAUUGGAGAAGGGGUGGGGUGACACUACUGAGACAUGCAGAGAAACACUCAACUUCCUCUCGGAAGUGCUCCAGGCGCCGGAUCCUAUCAACAUGGAGAAGUUCUUCAGCAGGGUGCCGUCGGUGUUCAACAUCGUCAUCUUCUCCAUCCACGGUUACUUUGGUCAAGAGAAGGUGCUUGGGUUGCCCGAUACCGGCGGUCAGGUGGUUUACAUCCUGGACCAAGUUAGAGCUCUUGAAGAGAAACUUCUGCAAAGAAUCAGGAAGCAGGGCCUGAAUGUUACCCCAAAGAUUCUUGUGUUAACAAGACUCAUACCGGACGCAAAGGGCACCAAGUGCAACGUUGGGCUUGAACCGGUCGAGCACACUAAGCAUUCAAGCAUCCUCCGUGUGCCAUUCAAGACCAAUGAUGGGAAAGAUCUUCGCCAGUGGGUCUCCCGGUUUGACAUUUACCCUUACCUGGAGAGAUAUGCCCAGGAUUCUUCUGUCAAGAUUCUUGACAUUCUGGAGGGGAAGCCAGACAUGGUCAUCGGAAAUUAUACCGAUGGCAAUUUAGUAGCAUCCCUCUUGUCGAGCAAACUCGGGGUCACCCAGGGAACAAUUGCUCAUGCUCUUGAGAAGACAAAGUACGAGGACUUAGAUGUCAAGUGGAGAGAAAUGGACCACAAGUAUCACUUCUCCUGCCAACUUACUGCUGACAUGAUCGCCAUGAACACUAGCGACUUCAUCAUCGCUAGCACCUACCAGGAAAUAGCCAGAAGCAAAGACAAACCUGGCCAGUAUGAGAGCCACUACGCCUUCACAAUGCCAGGGCUGUCUCGCUACGCCACAGGCGUCAACGUCUUCGAUCCCAAGUUCAACAUCGCCGCCCCUGGUGCUGAUCAAUCCGUUUACUUUCCAUUCACACAAAAACAGGCUGGGCUGACCGACUUGCACCCUCAGAUCGAGGAGCUACUCUACAGCAAGGAGGACAAUAAUGAACACUUAGGGUACCUAGGGGACAGGAGCAAGCCAAUCAUCUUCUCCAUGGCAAGGCUCGACAAGGUGAAGAACAUAACCGGGCUGGUCGAAUGGUACGGUGAGAACAAGAAGCUCAGGGACCUUGUCAACCUGGUCAUCGUUGGGGGACUCCUGGAACCAUCACAGUCAAACGACAGAGAAGAGACCGAGGAGAUCAACAAGAUGGACAGCUUGAUGGACAUGUACCAGCUCAAGGGACAGAUCUGCUGGAUCAAAGCACAGACCGAGCGCGUGUGCAACGGUGAGCUGUACCGUUGCAUUGCAGAUACCAGGGGCGCCUUCGUUCAGCCUGCACUCUACGAGGCAUUUGGACUAACGGUCAUCAAGGCGAUGAACUGCGGGCUGCCAACAUUCGCGACAAAUCAAGGAGGACCAGCAGAAAUCAUCGUCAACGAGGUUUCGGGUUUCCACAUCAACCCGCUCAACGGCAAGGAGGCAAGCGACAAGAUCGCAGCCUUCUUUCAGAAAUGCAAGGAGGACCCCACCUACUGGAACAAAAUGUCCACUGCCGGACUCCAGCGCAUCUAUGAGUGUUACACGUGGCAGAUUUACGCGACUAAAGUUCUGAACAUGGGGUCGAUGUACGGCUUCUGGAGGACUCUGAACAAGGAAGAGAGGUAG
rnacentral:rRNA from 1 species